rnacentral:pre_miRNA from 1 species
UUUGCUCUCAUCCUUGUAGAUGAGUUGUGCAAGGGUGGUCUUUCCCAUUCCUCUGUGUCUCAUUAUGUGGAAACGAGUGUGUUAAUGUUGCUUUCUUCCUCAUCUGCAACGGGCGUCAUCCGAGGAAAGUGCACCAGAUGUUAUGCGCACAAAUUAUGAGGGUGGUAAGGUAACAUCUCUCUUGUUCCAUAAUGGGCCUCAGAGGAAUGGGGAAAACAUCCUUGCACAACUUGUCUAUAAAAUGAGAGCACA